GUGAACGCUGGCGGCGUGCUUAACACAUGCAAGUCGAACGAAUUUUAAAAAAUGAAGUUUCGAUGGAUUUUUUUAAAAUUAGUGGCAAACGGGUGAGUAAUGCAUAAGUAACCUGCCCUUAAGACUGGGAUAACUCCUCGAAAGGGGUGCUAAUACCGGAUACGCUUUUUCUUUCGCAUGAAGGGAAAAGGAAACGUUUUUUCGCUUAAGGAGGGGCUUAUGUCUGAUUAGCUUGUUGGUGGGGUAAUGGCCUACCAAGGCGAUGAUCAGUAGCUGGUCUGAGAGGACGAUCAGCCACACUGGGACUGAGAUACGGCCCAGACUCCUACGGGAGGCAGCAGUGGGGAAUAUUGCGCAAUGGAGGAAACUCUGACGCAGCGACGCCGCGUGAGUGAAGAAGUCUUUCGGGAUGUAAAGCUCUGUCAAGAGGGACGAUAAUGACGGUACCUCUAAAGGAAGCCCCGGCUAACUACGU
rnacentral:rRNA from 1 species